CUGAACCAUUUAUUAGGACACAUGAAAUAUAAUAUCAAACAUAUUUUCUUCUGCAGGUGACAGUUUUCAGUGUGGAAUUACAUCAGCAACAAAUGCAGUGCAAGCUUUGGAGGACAGCAGUGUCACACAGACUCUCAGCCCUUAAAAACAUUAAUUUCAGUACCUUCUGACCCCGUUUCAACAGACAGAAUUCAUAAACAAUUUCACACGUCCACAAGAUAAAGACCCAAAACGAGGGGAUUUUGCGUUUUUUUCCUUCUUCUUUUUUUUCCUGCCUGAUUACAUCAUCACAAAUGCUCCAGGCCCACAAUGAACACGUCUCCCCAUUGGACAUUUACAUACAUCUGCCAAUAAUCACAACGAAUACAGACACAAAAUGGACAUAUAUGCAAAUGCACACGUUUUAAAAAAUAAAACUUUGCAGUUAUGAUGUCUGCUUAGCUAGUAGCUCACUGGGUAGCUAGUUUGCUUUAGGAAUGUUUUGGACAACUAACAGACAUGGGUUCAAUUCCCCCCUUGGAAUCAAGCGAGUUUCAAACUCAUUACACUGGCUUGCUGGCUAACUGAACAUUCAAACUAUUUCUUCUGUAUCUGUAAAACUGUAAAUGUUAAACUCUACAAUUUUUUUUUAGUUUAACGUUAGCUACCUUGCUAACGACACAACAGACCGAGUGUACAAUGUUAGUACAGACACCUCUGAAAUUAAGCAUCAAAAUUUAAUUGUGAUUUGGUCCGGUAGGUAACAUUCUCUAAAGAAUUACUUGAAACAAUUUAGGAAACAUUGGCUAGCAUUGCUUUGGAAUACAGCUGGUUCAAUUUGUCUGAGGUAAGAUAGCCAAUAUUGUUUCUGCUAACUUAGUGUCAUUUUGACAUCAAUACUUUUAAUUUCAGGCCUAGAUUUUGCCAGUUUGAAUGAAUGACUAUUUGACAGUGCUUUGUAUGUGUGAAUAACUUGGUAUUUGUGUACCAUGAAAAAGUGUUUAAAAUGCUGAUCUAAGAAUGAGUGUAUGACAAAUGUAAGCUGCCACUACCACCAGAGGCUGCAGGUGUGAAACCCCAGGGGGCGGGUAAUACAGGAGCUACAAGAACAAAACCUCUUCAGCACUGUGCUGUUAUGCCUCACUGAGAGAGAGGACACAUACAGGGACUUCAACACACUCAGACUACAAACACAAAUGCUUCCUCUAUUCAUUAUACUCUAUCACAGCAUAGGUAAGAAAAUAUGUAUAUUUUCAUUAGUUUACCAGACUUUUUUGAUGAAGUUAAACAUGCAAAACUAUUUGAAAGCAUAUAUUAUUUACUAGUCCUCAAUCAUUUGUUUAUAUUGAUUUUUUUGUGAAAUUGUUUUAUAUUUUCCACUUGAUAUUAAAAUUGAUUGAUGAAUGGUAUCUCUGUUCUUGUGUAUUGUUUUCCAGGUGACAUACUAGGCGACUCCAUCCAUCAGAAUCACUUAGUACUCCUGAUGGAAAAUGAGAAAGCAUCAUUAUACUGUCAGUAUGAAACUACUGACCCUACUCCUUAUCUUUUUUGGUACAUCCAGCGAGAGAAUAAAUCACCAGAGCUCAUCCUCAGUAAUUAUAAUACCCAUGGAAGUGGUUAUAAAGAAGGACUCACAGCAGAUCAUGAGAAGUCAGACAAGACCUUUAAUCUGAAGAUAGCUGCAGCUGUGCUGUCUGACUCUGCCACAUACUACUGUGCUCUGAGGCCCACAUUGUGUGAGUCUGUUUCUCACCUCGUACCAAAACCUCCUUCCUCUGUGUCACACUCUAUAAGCUACACUUACCAGGCUUUCAAAAUGAGCUGAAAUUGAUUCACAGACUCAGAAUUAAUGUAUAGAAUUCUUCUUCGCUUAAAUAUUUUUCAUUCCAAUCUAAAUUGACUGCAGAUAAUGAGGGAAUAAACAAAACUCAAUGUGUAAAAUUGCACUUGUAUGGCAGUUCUUACUCUUCCAUUUUAUAGAAUAGUCAUAUUUUUCUUAACACACAAUUUCUCCCUUAACACACAAAGACGAGAAUUACGCUUAGUUUUCCAGGUUAAUGUUGUGUAUGAUACAGAGCCUGUCAGGGAUCUCUAUUCACACCAAUAAGUAUCUUCAUCUUAAUGAAAAGUGUAGUGCAGAGAAGGAACUCUAUUGACAUCUAGUGGCGGUUUGGCAAAGUGCAAUAGAGUUAUUUCGUUUUGUGGCCUAACAGCAAAGAUCCUUUGGCAGCCUAGCCGCAUUUGCUUGAGUUUAGAAUCUAGAGGUAUUGCAAUUGCAGAUUCUACAGGAAUUCUGUAUGUAACAUUGCUGGUAGUGCUAACUUUGUUUCUCCUUGUAAACCAUUGAAAUAAACAGUUCAGCUAUGCUGAGCAAAUUAAAAAUGAGUCUUCAUUAAACAAACACGUCUUCUAUCAUCAUAUCACAGCCUCUUUCUGAAAAAAAGAUUUCAAAUGGAGAACCUCGCUUUAUAGAUGCCUCAGCUAUCAUGAUGCUGCACUGUUUAUUACUUCUGUUUUCAGCAAUGGUGGAUGACAGUUUUCAGGAUGAAAUAACACCAACAGCUAAAGAAGUGCAUGUUCUGGAGGGAAACAGUGUUUCACUGUCAUGCACUUACACAGCUGAUACAAGCACGUUGUUCUGGUAUCGCCAAUACUCCCGAUCCAAACC